UCCAAUAACCAUGCAAAAUCCAAAUGUCAAAGCGAAAUUAGAAAUUAUUCUCAUCAGAAAUCAACGAACAACUCAAACUGAAUUAUUUUAUCCAGUGUGAUGAUUAUUGUAGGACAAAUUAAACGGAAUAAAUGCACAAAUUGAUCCAUUCAUUCGUCAUAGUGCGCGACCCCGUCAAACGAGCCAUUUCGAACUACACUCAGACCGUAUCCAAAAAGCCCGAGGUGAAGACUUCGAGCAGCUGGUCUUCCUCAAAACCCCAUCAAAGCCCAUCGGCAGUAUUGUGACAUUUUCUGGGAGCCAUCAAGCUAGGAAUGUACUCGCGCUGCCUCACUCAGUCAAUUUAAACGGAAUAAAUGCACAAACCGCACAAAAUAUUUUAUUAGGUUAUGUUGCUGGUGCUGGUCGAGUCUUUAUUACUAAAAUCUCAUUAAAAUGCCAUGUUCUACUGCGAUUAGAUGAAAAAUCGAGGGCCCGCUUUUCUUAUUGUGUGAUGAUAAGAUUUACCAUCAUAACAGCUGGCGCUUUUGAAGAGGACCUUUUAAUGACCCAUUUAGAUAACUACAAAUAACAAAACGUAACAAUUGUUGAUGAAUUAAGUAAUGAAAUAUUGUACGAAUCUGGAGAAGUAUUGCACUAUUUUCAAGAAUUGCUCAAAAACACUGCUCUCAGCAGCUAUACAACGCUUCUCUGUUUGUAUAGCUUGUCUGAAUGCAGAUGGUCGUGAAGAAAUCUCCAAAGAAAAAAUUUCUCAGGGGUUUAGAUCUGGCGAUUGCACAGACCAAUGGGGCGGUGCAAACUUUCCAUUCCAAUAUUGAGGAAAAAUACUGGUUCAAAUAAACAACAUUUAUGCGAGCUGUAUGGCUGGAGAUUUGGUCUUGGAUGUAAAAGACCUGCUGCAGAUGCCGCACCCUUCGAGUCCCAGGAAGUAUUUGCUGAGCUAGCAUAUUAUCCUACUUCUGAGCAUUCAAUCCGGAUUCGAUGAAAAAAGAUGCAAUGACAUGAUGUCCUAGAAACCCCAGUCAUACACUGACAAUUGCACGCCAUUGAUAACGAAGGUCAUGGACCACGUGAGGGUUGUGUAAUGCUCAAAUUUGAUCGUUCUGACGAUUAUAACUUCCCUUAAGACCAAAUGAACGUCAGUAAAACAAAUGUUCCUCAAAAACUCUCCAUCAGCCUAGAUUCUCUCAAGCGUUCCUUCGUAAAACUCUAUAUGUGAGAAGUGGUCCUCAGGCUUCAAUUUUUUGUCAUGAUGCUUUUUGAAAUUCUUCUAUCUCAUCUGUUUAAGAUCCCUAGAAAACGUCGUGCCCACCUGAUUUUAUGUAAUUUUUAUCACCUUUGAAAAUAAAUGUAACUUUAU